UUGGUGUACAGCGCAUACAGUAAGGAUGCUGCACGUGGAAUCCUUGCAUUGCUAACCACUUCACGGUACUGCAAGGAACGUGCACUGCUCUGUCAGUUCAACAUCCCAACAGCAGAGGACUGUGUGACCUUCAUCUACCAUUGAAGCAAUGUGCUGUCAGGUUCCUUUCUUAACUGUUAUGCUACAAGUGUGAACCUUGCAGAAGUUGCUAGUAUCUUGUUCAGACACAGAAGCCAGCACCAGGAGCUAAAAUGGAAUGAAAUAAUUACAUAAAUAUACACUGUGGCUUCAGUUGGUGUUAAAAAAUAUGUAAUAAGAG